AUUGAACGCUGGCGGCAUGCCUUACACAUGCAAGUCGAACGGCAGCACGGGAGCUUGCUCCUGGUGGCGAGUGGCGAACGGGUGAGUAAUGCAUCGGAACGUGCCCUGAAGUGGGGGAUAACGUAGCGAAAGUUACGCUAAUACCGCAUAUUCUGUGAGCAGGAAAGCAGGGGAUCUUCGGACCUUGCGCUUUUGGAGCGGCCGAUGUCGGAUUAGCUAGUUGGUGGGGUAAGGCCCACCAAGGCGACGAUCCGUAGCGGGUCUGAGAGGAUGAUCCGCCACACUGGAACUGAGACACGGUCCAGACUCCUACGGGAGGCAGCAGUGGGGAAUUUUGGACAAUGGGCGCAAGCCUGAUCCAGCCAUGCCGCGUGAGUGAAGAAGGCCUCGG
rnacentral:rRNA from 1 species